rnacentral:tRNA from 1 species
GUUAGUUGGUAGAGCAUGGUGUUUGCAACACCAGGGUUGUGGGUUCGAUUCCCAC